rnacentral:rRNA from 1 species
AUGGCUCGCAACCAGCAGCUGAGGGUGCUGCAGGCACUGGACGUGGCGAGGACGCAGCUGUACCACUUCAUGGCGAUCGUGAUCGCCGGCAUGGGCUUCUUCACCGACGCCUACGACCUCUUCACCAUCUCCCUUGUCGCCGACCUCAUCGACCACAGGUACUACCCAGAUGGCCAGAGAGGAGACUACCUCCCCGUCCUCAUCAACGCCGUCUCCCUCUGCGGCACUGUGCCUGGGCAGCUCGUCUUCGGCUGGCUCGGCGACAAGAUGGGCCGGAAGCGCAUAUAUGGCGUCACUCUGCUCCUCAUGAUCUUCUGCUCCCUCGCCUCCGGCUUCACCUUCGGCAAGAGCACUAACAAAAGCGUCGUGACCACACUCUGCUUCUUCCGCUUCUGGCUAGGCUUCAGUAUCGGCGGCGACUACCCGCUGUCGGCCACCAUCAUGUCUGAGUAUGCUAGCAAGAGGACCCGCGGUGCCUUCAUGGCCGCCGUUUUCGCCAUGCAAGGUUUCGGAAACGUUGCUGCGGGGCUAGUUGGCACGAUCACAUCAGCAGCCUUCGUGAACUCAUCGCAGGACAAAAUUGAUUAUGUCUGGCGCAUUGUUCUCAUGUUUGGUGCCAUUCCUGCACUCCUCACCUACUACUGGCGCAUGAAGAUGCCAGAGACGGCACGGUACACCGCCCUCAUAGCCAAGGAUGCAAAGAUGGCCGCAUCAGACAUGUCUGCCGUCCUCCACAUGCCCAUCGUUCCUGAAGAUGACGGCGUCAACGAGCUCGCCAGCCAGGACCAAUAUGGCCUCUUCUCCUCAGAGUUCCUCCGCCGUCACGGGCUCCACCUCCUUAGCACCGCCGUCUGCUGGUUCGUCCUUGACGUCACCUUCUACUCCCUCAACAUGUUUAUGAAGGACAUCUUUACUAAAGUCAGGCUGCUUGACAUUGACGAUGACCUUCUUAAGGUAUAUUGUCAAAUGGCUAGCCCACCUGUGGCGCCAGGAUAUCAUAAAUCCGACAAUCCGUUCAAGCGAACGAUACGCAUCACUGGAGUGCACACGGCCAUCGCAGCGGCAUGUACAUUGCCAGGGUACUUCUUCGCGGUGGCCUUCAUUGACCGCAUAGGACGCGUGAAAAUCCAAUUGCUCGGCUUCACCAUGAUGACGGUCUUUCAACUUUGCCUUGCCAUCCCUUAUCCUAAAUGGCUAGAAUGCAACAGAAACAAAUAUGGAUUCGCCGUCCUGUAUGGCUUCACCUUUUUCUUCGCCAACUUUGGGCCAAACACUACGACUUUCAUCCUUCCAGCAGAACUCUUCCCGGCACGGUUGCGCUCCACAUGCCAUGGUAUAUCAGGUGCGGUCGGGAAGAUCGGCGCCGUCGUCGGCGUGUUUGCCUUCCACUUGUUGAGGAACCAAUUCAGGACCUUGCUGUUUGUCCUUGUUGGUUGCAAUCUAGUUGGCAUUAUGUUCACUCUUCUAUUGCCGGAAACCAUGGGUAAAUCUCUUGAGGAGAUUACUGGAGAGACAGAAGAAGGUCAGACUCUGGAUGAUGAAGCUACAACGGUCAACGCAGACGACGGCAUACACGUUGUGCCUGUUUAA